rnacentral:misc_RNA from 1 species
UCCGGUUUGUCACCGGCAGUCUCAUUAGAGUGCCCUUUCGUAGCAACUAAUGACAAGGGUUGCGCUCGUUGCGGGACUUAACCCAACAUCUCACGACACGAGCUGACGACAGCCAUGCAGCACCUGUGUACUGGUUCUCUUUCGAGCACUCCCCGAUCUCUCAGGGAUUCCAGCCAUGUCAAAGGUGGGUAAGGUGGGGAUGACGUGUCUAGGAGGGUG